GUUCCUGUUACCAGUGUUCACGUUACGGGACUGUUUCGUCGUCGGCUUAUUGUUUUGAUCAUUGUUUAAGUAUCCCAUUUAAACUAUGGAUUAUCAUCACGCUGCAUUUUGGUCCUCCUCUCUUUCACCCGAAGACAAACGUGACACAGAGCCAGUAAUGAACCUCGGGGCAUAACGACAUACAGCACCUAAGGGUUUAACUGUGGACGCUGCAGCAUGCAUGUAAACCACAUCCCCAUAAUCCAAUACACACACACAAAGUAAUCCGGAGAGCAUCAGCGCGGCUCCAGUGAGACCACUAUCCAAAGCCCAGAGACCCAAAAACAACAGCAGCAGAGGGGGAGUCACUCCUACAGCAACACUGUGAGGUCACAAAGAGAUAUAGGGAUGGUUUUAAAAGACUUUCCAGCUUCCAAUCACAGUUUUCCAAGAAUGAUUUUCCAAAGUUUUCCAGGUCCGUCUCUCAGCAGGCAGGGAUCGAGCCCUGGAAGCUGGAAUGUGACACAGGAGAAGCUCACCCCCACGGAUAUUCACACACACACACACACACUCGUGCUCCGCACUCUUGUUCCUAAAAAACCCUCACACUCUCAUCUCCCUCACUCUGUAAGACCCAUCGUCUCUGCUAUACAUCCCCCUCUUACCACCCAACCUGACUACAUUGAGCAGAGAGAGCAACUCAGUGGCACAAAGACAGACAAAGAGGGAGAGAGAGAAGCAGGGUGUGGUGGGGGGUAGAGCUUUGGAUUUGGCUAUGGAGAAAAAGAGAGACAAGCGAGUAAGAUUGGAGAACCAAUGAAGUGAGGGUGAAAGAGAGGGAACGAGACAGAGAAAUAGAGGGAGGAUUGAGUACGGCAUGGGAAUUUCAUUCAGCUUUGACUGGGAAUUUGCCUCCUGACUUUUCCCGUCAAUAUAAAGUUUGUCUCUUGAGCCACCGUAGCAACAACAUACCCAGCAACACUUCCUCAAAAUAGGCAGAAUUCAUCUCAGAUAAAUCAAGAAAUCUGUCAUUGAUUUUGACGUUUUUGCCAAGGAAGUCUUAGUCGCGCAAUUUUACAUCUAACUGAGACAUUUGAUGCUUGAACUAUUAGUCUCUCUAUGAAUGUCAACAAACACUUCAUUGAAUAAUCCUG
ensembl:lncRNA